AUGCCCCCUUCGGUGGAGCUCCGAAACAGGCCCCAAGAUCGAAUCUCGUGGAUACAGAAAGUUACGGCGGUGGAAUUAGGGUUUAUUCACACAAAGAAAUACCUGCCACGUGCAGUUGUCAUGCUUGUGGUCGAUUCAGCCGGGGAACAACAACGCCGUCGUCGCCGGUGGCAUGGAUACCAUGUCCAAUGCCCCCAAAUACGCUGCAACAGCAAGAUAGAAGAUAGCAACGGAGUGGAUAUGGAUGACUAUCUGAAAGUAUGCAGGUUUCUUUCCAAACUUAACAACGGGAUACUAGGGGUGAUCGACGUGGACUACCGCGACCUGGUGGGCAUCGUGCUCUUCAACCACUCGGAGACGGACUUCGCUGUGAAGCCCGGCGACCGCAUCAUAGAGAUGAUUGUCCAGGUGAUUGCGGCGCCGGAGGUCGCCGAGGUGGAGGACCUUGACGCCACCGUACGGAGUCGUCGAGGUGGAGUACCUUGA
rnacentral:rRNA from 1 species